UAUGGUUUCAUAGUACUGGAUAUUUUCUUCCGGGUGAGCUGGGCAUGGCGUUUCUCAGAUCUUGGGAGCAGUUGGAUUCCAUUCGCUUUGUCAGUUGUAGAGAUUUUUAGACGUGCCAUGUGGUUUCCUCUCAGAAUCGAGGGAUGGCAGGUUUCGCUCGGUAUUGGACCCAGAGGUACUGCAGAGGCAGUGGUUGAGGUACCACCUACAGGUGCAGCUGCUAUGGGAGAGGUUGAGUUACCUCCAGCGUUGUAGAUUUUCAGUUGGUAAACUCUGUUGGGUCUGGUGAUGUAAAACUACCACUGUUCCAUUAACUUUUUUGCUCAAAUCAGGAUUUGGGUUCUUACAUCAACUAUUAACACUCACUUUAGAAAAUCAUCUCCCCUGUCUGGGAAGAAAAAAAAUCAUCUGUUGCUUGUAAAGCAGUUUCUGUGGAACCAUCAACUGAAAUUGAAGAAGAUGUUUCUCAGAUAAAAGUAGUAGGGUGUCGAAAAAUUUAUAGCUAUGGAUGCUUUCCACCGUUUCAGUUGGCAAAGAACUCUUGGACCGCUUAUGAGUCACACACCGACUAACCAAGUACUGGCAUGCAUCAUCAACUCUGUAGAGAUUUCAGUCUUGGUGGAGAUAUAAGCUUAAUGGAUCAUGGUAUAGAUCUAAACAUUUCCGAAGAUGUCCAGAUCUUUCACAGUUCAAUCUCCCUGUUUCAUUUCAAAGUGCAAACUUAAUGCGAGCAAGAGCUAGAACUGCACAUUUGGAUUCAGGAAGUCCACCUUCAGACAGCAACCUUAUCCUUAUACAAAGUAAUACUGGUAAGCAUGUGACGAGUCCAAAUAGUCAGGACUGCCCAAUUAUGGUCUACUUCUGCAGGUGCAAGUGCAACUGACUUAUAUGAUCCUUAUCAGCCUCCGAGGUAUAAUACCUGCAGUGAAACAUCUAAUGCAUUAUUAGUAAAACACACUUCACCUCAGAAACCUUUACGCACUCUAUAUGUCGUCAAUUUCAUUCCCCCAAAAAGAACAAUAUAGAACCCAUUCUCUCACAUUUUCAAAAUUGGAGUAGUAGAUCUGUAGAUGACUUUUUUGUAACAACUGAUAGAAAAACAGCCGACGUUCAGUUUUCGAAGAGAGAAGCAGCAGAAGCUGCAAUAAGUUCACCUGAUCCUGUGCUGGGUAAGCACUUUAUCCAGUUAUCAUGGGAUACAUGGAUAGAUUUCUUGAAUUUGAUGAAAGCAGUUCCUGUACUCCUCCUUUAUUGUCGCAGCGAUCUCUAGCUAAUAGACAGAAACAAGAUCUCCCAUCUGCGCUGAAAAUGGUAAAUGAGCUGAUAUUCACAAGCUUGUAAAGAAGAUAUGACGGUCGAAAUUUUCACCAAGGAGCCUCGGCUAAUGCAGGAACUGAUUGACCAAAACCAGAGUGACUUCAAACCUGUAGCAGGAACAAGUAAGACCCAGUUUUCACUUUUGCCAUCUUUUUGGUUUACUGAGGUUAAAAUUUUCUGUUUGGGGAAAAUUGAUAUUUCAGUGUUGGUCUCGUGAAUACUGUUUCUUUCGCUCUUUAGUGAAAGCGGUACUCUCCAAUCUGGUAACUCACAGCUCUUAUGUCAGUUACAGAUUCUUUGGAAACUACACAUUUCAGAUAAUGAAAGAAUCUGGUCUUUUCACUUCAAAAAGAGUCCUAAAAGAUGCUGAGGUUAAUCAACUAAUGUCCAUGCUUGUUAUCCUCUCCACCAGUCUUUCAGGUCUUUUUGCUGUUAAAUCCACCUACAAUUCAAUUAUGGUUCCCACUGCUGCUGCAAUAAAUUUCCCUUCCAAGACUACACGGAACCCGAAUGUGCCACCAAAAACCUCCUUUUAUUGGACUGCAUCCCUAGAAAAGAUUCCCACUCAAGAAAUUCAUGCUUGCUAGCAAAUGUGAGUAAGCGAAACACCUUCUCUUGAAAUGACAUUUAUCCAGGAAAGUCUGAUCUUGAAUUUUACCCAAUCGCAUCCCAUGGUAGCCAUCUCAGUCCCAUGCAACUUACUAUUUUUGGUCUUCUCAAGGCAUUCAAGGCCCUGCCAUCAAGAUCUGGGACCUAGUUCCGCAGCAGUCAUUUGGGCUAUCUGGACUGAGUGCAACAAACAAAUCUUUCAAGAUAAAGCUAUAUCCCAUUUCCAGAUCAAUGCUGAGAUCAAGGCAGCCCUUCUGGCAUGGGGUUCUGCCUUGAAAACAAACUUAUUGACUGGACUGGUGCAUUUUCUCUUGGGGAAGUAUGUUGCAUUGAGGAAUUGAACUGCUCUAACAUUUUCUCGGGGACCCAGGAAGACUUGAAGGAAAAGAGGCCCUUGUCCGGUCUUUUCUCUGAGGUUGUUGUAUUUGAUUGCUGGUAUGUUAUGUUUGUCCUAUCUCUGCAAGUUGCACCCUUGGCAGUAUUUUUGAUGCCACUAGCUAUGUUGGCGCCCGUGACAGCAUUUGCUAGCAAAGAGAUGUCAACUAACACAAGCUGAACGAAAAUGGAGUUACUCGGGUUGUAGCUCAGAACGUCAAACUGUUGAUGGACGAAAAAAGCACGAAAUAAUUCCGACACUAUGUUGUAUUAGAGGGGCGGCAAGGUUUAUUAGAAGGGCGGCAUUCCAAUAAGACAAAAAGGGUCAUUACAUGAUCAUUCAAGGUGUCCCUUAUCAAAAAACUGGAAAUGACAA